rnacentral:misc_RNA from 1 species
UUCGCGACGUUCGCACGGCAGUCUGGCGGUGGUCGAGAGAGCAAAUGGUGCGUGUGUCGUGUAGUUAGUGUUCAGUUAGUAUUAUCGUGGCAGCGAAUGCUGGCGGGUAUACGGCGAAAUUUCGUGCAAGUAAAGUUCGUGUCGCGGUGUAGGAUUUUUUCGUUUAAACCGAACAGCUAUGCGUGACGGAAUAGAGGUUAUCGCGCGCAAUUUUCAUUUUAUAAUGCCACCUCGAUCGUUAGUCUCGUCGCGAAUUUGAUUCUUGUGUCGCCGCGUUGCCGGUAUCGCGAAUUUCAAUGUGUGACGCAAAUCAUGAUAUAACUAAAGUCUCGUUGAUUGUUUCUUUCUUAUUCCGUUCGAAACAGUACUCAUAAACAGAUUUUCGCUGCAAACAGCACGAAUGCUUUCUAACCUAAACAAAAAAUGAGAUUUUUAACUUCAUGAUUUUCUAAGAAUUUCACUUCGCGUGCGACGCGUACUGUACAAUCUCUGGUAUUUGACUUUGAUAUUCUUUCAUUGUCAUGUAAUGCUGGUCAAGUAGAUGUAUAAUUCUCACAUAUGCUUACACACAUGUACAUCUUUAUGUUUUUUACCCACAUUCUUUCGAAACGGUCGCUAAAUCCCAAGUAUAUUAGCGAAAUUAUAUUUCAAAUUUAGUUUCGUCUAAAGCGGGUCGUAUUUUCUAGAAAGAAUAUAGAAUUUAGUCAGUGUAUCUAAUGUAUAUUGUGUGGAUUUUACAAUUUCAAGGUAAGAAAUUGUUAAUUCGGUAAUUUUUUCGGUAAUUCGCUAGUAAGUAUCCUUGCUAUUCCGAUCUACGAUUCGCGUGUUACGCGUAAUCGCAUCGUGAUCAUACGUGAUGCCGUGGACUUUCGGCAGUCGGACGUUUCGCGAGUGGUGUAAUGAACAUUGUCUCUAACGUGCAAUAUUUCGAGGAAGAGGAAGGAUCAUCCAGCUGCAAAAACGGCGGAAGUAUUAGAGGUAACGGCGCUGAUCGUCAUCGUCGUCAUUAUGGCGUACGUGCUUUGGCGAGUAUUUAUGAAAAAAUAUUCCAAGGUGCGACUAGGUAUCAGGAAUCUGCCGGUGGUGAUACCGGCAGAUCGCCGGCCUCCGGAGAAGGAGGAAACGUGGACUCUGCCUACUGAUCAACAAGAUCCAUGCGUUCUUUUCGACGAUACCGUCAAGCCGAAAGGGACGCAGGACGAGAAGACGCAGCUGAAACCGACCACAGAAGCGAUCUCCGUGGAUACGGGCGAUAAUGUGGACAACACCUUGCCGCGCAGUCAAGAAACCAGAAAGAGCAAGACCAAGAAAGUAAAGAAUUAUCUGAGAAAGUGUAAAGGCGCGCUGUCGAAGGGUGACGAGAGUGUCACGGAGAAGAAACGCCAGGAAAAUUGCACUUCGUGGUAUUUGGAGGACAUUGCUAUUCGCGCGUCUCAGGAGGAUCACGACGAAUCCGCGGAGAGGUACACGGAAUUUCUUGAGGAAAGGCUCGAGGAGACGACGCGUGAUACGAAACCCGUUGAAAAUCUCGUGCCUGAAACACUUGAAAGUUUUUUGAGGGAUGAAAAUCUUGAAGAAACUCCGGAUGAGGCAUUCACUAAAUUGCUGGAAGAAGACCGCAGGAUCGAUCUUAGCAGAAGCGGGACACCUCUGUACGAGGAUGCCAGAGGUGCAAGUCUGGAACCGCACACCUCAAAUCAGAAAACUCCGACGAAAAAAUCAGGGCAGUCCUGCGACGAAGAGAAAAAAGAUGUGGUUUUGCUGGAAACGCUGAUUACGGAAGAUACGAAUCUGAACAAGUGUGACUCGAACGACACAUUGAUAGCAGAAAUCCUGGAAACAGCGGAAACUGCGACGAGUUUCAAUACGGAAUUGACGGCGGAAGAAGGAGAAGAUGCACGGAAAACACUUGUGGAAGGAGUUGAUGAAGAAGCAAUGUUAGCAGUUCUUACAUCCUGCGCGAUUGGACCGUCAGUAGUGCCAGUAUCGGGCCUGUUGUUUUUACCAGUGCAAAAACGAUGCUUGGUAAAAUUAUAGUUCUAAUGUUGGUCCUGUCUUCUUGUCAAUAUUGGCCCAAUAUGGAUGCCGAGUACUGGUGAAACAAGCAGGCUAAUAUUGGGUCAUUUAUAAAUACAAGAUUGGGACAAGACUGGGCCAAUUGUCAAUAUCGAAUAUCGGCUAUCAUGGUUGGGCCUUUAUUGGUCUAGUGGUACUACAGGAAUGCAAUUCCUACAUGGAAUCGUGGAGAUUUCGCUUCCCUGGUUCGGAAUUUACUUGGACCUAUUUACGGCGACGGUGUUAUGAAUCUGCUGAUA